rnacentral:tRNA from 5 species
GCCGGCAUAGCUCAGUGGUAGAGCAACAGUUUUGUAAACUGUAAGUCGGGGGUUCAAGUCCCUCUGCCGGCU